rnacentral:lncRNA from 1 species
UGAGAAAAUACAGAAAGAAGACCAUCUACAAGCCAGAGAGCAGCCUUCACGAGACACUGGAUUUCUAGAGCCUUGAUUUUGAACCUCCCAGCUUUCAGAACGGCUUCUUCUUCAGUUGACCUCUUGAAGUCUCGGAGGAAUGGCCAUUUGUCGGGGUAUGUGGGGAAGCAGAUCGGAUUCCUGUCUCUGCAUUUCCACCUGUAGUAAGGGCUGAAUCCAGAGGUGCCUUAUCUUCAGGUUGCUGGGAAACAACAUCUAUCGUCUACCUUUUUAUUUGGACUGUUUUCACUGUUAUGCUAAUUACAAUCUAGAGCAAAUGCUUGAUCCAUCAAAGUGAAGCCAUAGGAUUUGUUUCCCUUAUGUUUAAGGAUGGGCUUCAGUUCACAUGGGUGUUGUUACGAUGGUUAUUAAGGUAUUCUGCAUCCAUUAGAAGUAUUAGCAUAGUUACUAUUUCUUGGAUGUAUAUCUGCAUUGUGAUUUGAAGCUCAGUGUGCUACCAGAGUGUGGUAGAUUAUAGAUGAAAGACAGCUACAAGUUCUUCGAGAAAUGGAGUCUAACUCCACUCCCCUGGGGCUGGCCUAGGUGACUUGUUCCACUAAUAGGAUGUGAAGGAAGUAAUGGUCGGACAUUCCAGGUUUAGGCUGUAAGAAGGCUGGCAGGUUCCCCUCCGGUCUUUUGGAAUUCUUGCCCCAGUGUUUCUUGCACUGCCAUGUAAGAAGUUCACAAGUGCCCACCUUGGACCAAGACCAUCAAGGUAUAGGUUCCUGGCUCAGCAUUCUAAGCUGAGUCCAGCAUUUGUGGGCAUCCCUGUAAAGAUGCCAGACAUGGUUUAUAUCUACUGGACCAGCCUGUCUACCUGCUGAAUACCACCAAGUUGAAAACACCUGGAGCAGGAAAAACUUCCCAGCUCACCUGUCACCUCAGGAACCAUGACAGUAGUAAUCAUUGUUUUAAACCAUUAAUUUUGGAAAUGUUUGUUAAGAAGGAACAGAUAACUGAAUCUCGCAUAAUUCAACAAUGGAAGUGCACUACUUUAUAUGCUGGAAUGGUCAUCUGGUUCUUGUGUCUUUUUUUGCCUUUUUUUUUUUUUAUUCUUUGAAUCUCAGAUCAAUUGUUACUCCCUCUGAAAGACUCUCCUGCCUCUGCCUCGCCUCUGCCUAGAACAAAUUAGAUCCUUGAUCUUUCUUUUAAGCCCUCCUCCCUCAAAUUCAGUUCACUGAGGGUAGGUAAUUUUUAAAUUGAUUAAACAUUUAUUCAUGCAAGAAACAUUUACUGUAUACCUACAAGUAUAAAUCAUGAUGUUCGCUGAUGGAAAAAUUGUGAAAACAUUUUCUUUGCUGUACUUACCCCUCAGACCUAGCACAUGCAUAGUUGGAGUUUGAUACAUGUCAAUUUUUGCUAACUCCAAACUGUAGAGGUGCUGGCUUUGCUUGCAGCUAACUGGUUUGAUCUGAAUUGCUACUCCUACUGUUGCAAAGUAGCGAUCAGAAAUGCUGAUAGCAAAUAUAACAAAGUUCAAAUUUUGACUCUGCCAAAUAUAAGACAUGUGACUGAAUCAAACUUUCUUUUGCUUUCUUUCAGAAUAAAAGUAACUUGCUGAA